rnacentral:rRNA from 1 species
GCCUAUGACCAAAUCACCUGGAAUGUGCUUGAUCUGUUCAGAUCCUGGAAGCUAAGCAGCAUUGAGCCUGGAUAGUGUUUGUAUAAGGCUGCCACCAUGCAUAGUAGGUG